AUGCCGCCAACACCACCCCCUGUGGUUCCGACUCCAGCACCGACCCAUGUCUCUCCAACGCUAACCCCGGUGGCCCCAACACCGACCCCUGUGAUGCCGCCAACACACACCCCUGUGACUCCGACGCCAACCCCGGCCCCGGCCCCAGGCCUGGCGACACCGACUGGCAAGUGCCCUGUUGAUACGCUGAAGCUGCUGGCGUGCGUGGAUGUGCUCAAUGGGCUGUUGCACGCGGUGAUCGGCAAUAGCACCAGCGAUACAUGCUGCCCGCUGCUGUCUGGCGUGGCCGACCUCGACGCCGCUCUCUGCCUUUGCACCACCAUCAAGGUCAAGGCCCUCAACGUCAGCCUCGUGCUGCCCAUCGCCAUCGAGGUGCUCGUCAACCAGUGCGGCAAGAGAGUGCCGGACGGCUUCCACUGCCCGAACUAA
rnacentral:rRNA from 1 species